GGGCAGCCUGAGUGGGAACGGUUAGGGGGUUAGACAGAUUUCCUGCAUUUUAAGGCUCUUUUCCUCUGAAGAGACUGCUUCAGGACAAUCCAAUUGCCUUUAAUGCUGCUUCUUCCCUUCUUCAUUUUAACCCUGUCUUUUCUCUCCCUUUCUUCCUCCCCUCCACCUCACUCAAGUUGUUUGGGUUUCAGAAGUAAAAAUGAUUUUAAGGACAUAUGCCAGCAUUUUGAAAAGUUUCAGUUUCAAACACAUGAAAAGGAAAGUCUGAAGGGAUUCCUAGAACUGUACUGCAGCUUGCAGGUAUGGCUUUGAUUUUCUUUUUGGCAGGCUUUCGCCAUCCACUCUUUCAUUGCCCUUCCAGGAAACACUGCUGGGUGCCUAAAGACCGGCGCGCUUCUUACACUUGGCAAGAGAAGAUAACAGUAAUGCUACAGCUUGGGCUUUGAAAGAUUAAAAGCAACAUUUAUUCCUUACAGUAUUUUCAAACUUCUUCAAGUUAAUUUGAAAUCCAUUUUAGAGAAUGUUUAACUAGUAAUACUGAUUUAUUUUUUUUUAAUUUCGAAUAUAAUGUACUUGUUAUUUAAACCAAGUAAGAGAUAGAUUAAAGUAAGCGCAGUUCUUCAAAGUGCAUUAAAUGCUUUGAGCAGUCCUUUCCCUGUGCUGGAAGAAAUACCCCGUGCUUCUGGGACUGGUCUCUUUAUGAUAUCUCUGUAAAAGCCCUGGCAAGAAAAGAUCGUGUUUUGAGAGCAAUUUCCAAUUUUUCAGAAACUUUUUGUACCCCUCCCCCUUUCGGUGGCUGACCAACCUCACUGCUAGCCAAGUAGAGCACAAGACUCUCCCUUCCCCAGUUUGUGGGGCUGCUGAUAAAUUAUUCAUACCGCUAAUGAGGAUUGAGAAUUUUCAGGCAUUUUUAAAGGCUUGCAUCACUUCGUCAACAUUUCUUUCACACCUGCAUGCUUCAGGCAGUCAGGUGUUUAAAAUUACCGACACAGAGCUCUGCCCUUCUCCCCCUGAAAGUGCUUUGCUCAACAGUGGAGUCCUGUGGCUAUUUUGUCUGUUUGUCUGCGUGAGGUUUUUUUCUGUGCUAAUUAGCGUGAGGGGAAAGGGGACUCUGAGAGGACUGUGUUAAUUACCAAAAGGGAUCAUGUAUCUCAGCUUAUAUUAAUUUUGAAAUGACAAGACACAGGUGCACAUUUAGUGGCAGUGAAUGAAUGUUAGCAUUUAAAGGCCUUUUUUUUUCUUUUUUUCCUUCUUUUUUUUUUUUUUUUUCCCCCUCCAAUGGAUGGAUCUUCCUUUAGAGGGAGUUAUCAGAAGGAACAAUCUCAAAGUAAGGAAGCCCCUGCUGAAGCUAAGAGCUACAUGAUAUGAAAGGACUGAUUAUGUUUAUAUUAUGUGGUCUCCUGUGAAAAAAUCAAGCCUCCCAGCUAGUAGAGAAAGGUCACUGGAUCUGAGGAAACAACUGACUCAGUGUCUUAAUUCUGAAGGAAAUGAGUCCUUUGUAGAUGAGAGGGAUUUUCUGAUCUAGUUCAGAGAAAGGCAUAGAACUAUGAAAAUAAGUUUUUUAUGUAGGGUUGGAGAAUAAAGAGGAGAAUCAGAAAGACUAGGAAUGGGAAGGUAAAAAAAGUCUCCCAUAUAGGUUUUUUUUUUUUUUUUUCUACAUUUAAAUAUUCCACGGGUGACUGGAAGUGCUGUAUUAAUCUCCGUGCCUCCGUGCAUCAUCCGUAGCACCCUUAAAAAAACUUGGUGGAACGAGAGUGUCUGAAGAGGACAUUUGGUAUGUAUGUAUUGCUCUUUGAAUAUAGACUUCAGCCUAUAUUUGAGCCCUGUCUUGCCUCCAACUCACCUUUUGUGUAAUUGAGUUUUCAGUGGCUUUGGCUGAAUGCAAAGGUUAGAGUUGGCAUCAGUGAUGGCCCAUUGUAUCCUGGGGAGUGUCUUGGGGUAAGCUGGGCCCCUUCACUUUGCUUGGGCACUGCGCAUACUGACUGGGGGUCUCAAGCAUACAAUUCCUUCCCAUAUAUCACUUAGCACAAAGAAAGAGGGAGAGAUAGGCAGGGUGAAGCAGGAAUGCUUACACAACAGUGUGGGUUUCCACAGCAAAGACUGAAGGCAGAUGAAUUUGGCUAUAAACAGGAAAAAAUGAAGCUAAAUUUAGCUUGUUCCCUUACUUGGUGUCAUAAGGUUACUGUGGGCAUAGUUUCUGUGGCCUUGUAUAGGUACACAGGAAUGCAUGUGUGCUAGUAGCCAAGCUGUUUUGGUGAAGACCAUGAUAGUUCUGUGAUAUUACAAAAAGUGUAGGAAUCUAAAUCCUCAUAUAAACUGCAAGAGCAUCAUGAAGUACAAGCUCUGUAAAUCUUUACAGAUACUGGUCACUUGAAACAGAUAUACUUGUGAGCUUUGAUGUAUAUGCCAAUCAUUCAGUCAUUCUUGGAUAACAAUUUUGCUCUGAAAUAAAACCAACUGACUAACUGGGGAUAACUUUAUGCCCUAGCAGGAAGUAUAGAGCAUGCUUAGUACUAUGCUUACAAUGAAAGUGGCCAUUUUGAUAAAGCAGAUCACUGUAGAAGCUGAUCAGAAAUGCAAAUGCAAUAGAAAAUUGUUUUUAAUGGCUUUUGAGGAAAUAUUAAGAUUUAUUCGUGUAGAGACCUACUCAGCAUGUUGCACAAAUUCCUGUUAGCACACUAAUAAGUCAAUGUGUUACCAAAUGUUUAGUCAUUAUAAUUACAGCCACGUAUUGUCCUUUUUACAAAUAGGUCUGGCUUAAUUGCACCAUUUUUCAGCAGGAUUUAUGUGGUCCUGUUUAAUCUAAAAUUAGUACAUGCACAAAUGAAGUGCAAACUAUUUUCCAUCACUGAACUGUGAAAUAUUCUCCAGAAUAGAGAUAUACCAAUGUGUUCUGAAAAAGAUGCAAUAAGCAGUCAGGCAACUUUGUGAUUUGUCUGCUUCUAUACAAUUUGCUAGAACUAAAAAAAAAAUACACUAAAACAUACAUUAACGGCCAACUGAACAAAAACGUAAGUUAAAUGAUCUAAAUUGAGCAGUACUGUUUGAUCACCACCAGUUAGAGGAUGGGGGAAAUCAUAAAUCUAUCUUGAUAUUGCUAGCUUUCAGCAUUUAAGUACAGUAAGAGAUGGUGCGUUUAAUAUAUCACAUCCAUCUAUCACAUGUAAAUGUAUCGCAUUUCUAAGAUGCUCUGUAGGCCAAGUUGUGAAGGCCUAAAUUUUAAGUUACUAUGACUAAUAUUUCUUAUUACCCACAUAGCUCUGAGAGCCUAAAGAUGCACGUAGGACAUGGUAGACAUAUAAGUGGGAGCUGCUUGAACCUGGGACAUGUGUAGCAAUUGCAAUACGUACAUAGUGAUGUGAUAUUUGAAAUAUGUGUGAUUUCUAAGAGUAUUGUAACUUAGACAUUAAAAUCUAAAUGCAUGGCUGAAUCCCGCUUGGAUGUAAAGGCCUAACGCUGGCUGAAAUCUUGGUUCUACUUGCAUCUAACAGGAAAAAGUUUAUUUGUCUUCAGUAGAGCUUUGGUCUUCUUGUGUAGAAUAGAGACUGUCUGACUACUCUGAGGAAAUGUGCUGGUUUUUAGGGCGAAUCAGAAAACCAACAAAAGUUCCCAUGUUACCUGAGUACUAUUAUGGUAGUGCUAAGGACAGUUCUGUCUCUAAACAUGGGAGAUUCUUCAUGUUGUCUUCCUGUCGGUAUUCGUAGCUGCAGUGUAGAUAAAUGCAGUUUUGUGCAGUAUGAGUUUGAUGUAGAAAGUAGGAGAAUGUCUCUAUUAUUAAAAAUAUAUGAGGAUUGAAUAUAGCUCUUGGUUCAAAUCUACUCUUGGUUUUUGUGGUUUGAAAUUAUUUCUUUGUAUGCUUCAAUGGGCCAAAAUUUUGAGGGCUUACUUGAAGUAGGGCACACAGUGACAUGUGGGGUAUGAUCUUACCCACGAGACACAUGCACUGUAGUGCGUAUGAAUGGGUUAAUAUGCUGACAAACAGUAGCUUGCAGGUCACUGCCAUUUCUCUCUGCUUCAGCAUGUCACCACAGUAAUUCACACUCUGAAACCUUAAGGCUAUAUCUGGUAACGUUCACUUCUUCAUGCUGCAAAUAGAAGCUUCAGCAGAGCUGUCUUUUAAAUAGCACCGGCCCUGAGCGAGCACAGCGAUCCUUGGGGAUCAGAACCAUCCUCAGUGUGGCUUACAGCGGUGUUUGUGAUGUGUAUUAUCCCAAAGCUGAAAGUACUGAUGCACUAGUGAGAGGCUCAUCCUUCUCUGCAGUUCUUUGCCCCAAAUGCUGUGUGAUGACAACAGAGGUGCUCCCAAAACAGGGCCCAGGACUCCUCCGGUGCUUUAGGAUUGUGCUGAGGUUUGAACCAGUGUGACAUUGGUCCUGCCAGCCCUGACUGUCACCCAACAUCACUCUGCUCUUACCAAACAUCUACUUUUCCUAAGAAUUUUUGUAAAUUAAAGUCAAGUGCCCAGGUUGAGGGAUUUGCUACCAUCUGUAAAUGAGGUGUUUCUCAGGUAAACUUUUCCUAAAGCACUUUAAUGAAAUCAUUUAAGGACUGUUAGCUUCAUUUGAUAAGAACAAAACCUGAUCCAGGAGUAGGAUGUGGGCAUCGUAAUCAUACCUGGAGAAAUCAUAUGUGGAAAAUGAUGUGACACCAGAAUUUAGGGGACACUUUCCUAAGGAGGCAUGUUAGUUGUGGAUGUGAUGCUGGUAGUCUGGGCUUUGGGUGAAGUCCUUUGUAGGUAUAGAAACCCUCCUUAGCACAGGAAAAUGUCCUCGGAGCACAGAGCUUGAGUUUUCUGAAAUAAUGGCACUUCUAAAUGAAUGUGAGGGAAGGAAUAUGCCUUGCUAUCAAUUACUCAAGCUACUCAUUUAAUAGGUUCUGUGAUUUUGGUUGCUUCCACAACAAACAGCAUUUCCAGUGCUACAUGUUUUUUUGAACAGCUUCAGGUAGGCAGCUUAGGACUGCUCUGAUUUUGUUGUGGAGCACUGUUUCCCUUUAGCAUGUUCUCCACAUAGGGUGACCUACCUUAGCCUGCCUGCAUGCCAGGGGAUGAUCUCCAUCUGUUGGACACAUGUCAUGUGAGCUGCUGACCUGCACUGCAGUAGCACCCUGCAGCACCCGCAAGAUGCUCCGCUGGCUGCUGUGUGAUACGGAGCAAGGAGCACCUGCAGCAGCCUGGAGGAAAAUGGGUCACUCUUGUAGGUACCUUAAAAUAUGAAGGAAAAUUCCUCCUGAAAGCUGUGGAGCUGGAAGCAGUUAUUUAAGUCCUUUUUAUGCAGAAGGGCUGCUCUUGCCUUAGUUCACAGAAAUUAAUGCUGAAGGCACCUGGACUCAAAGGAUGGAAGCUCUGCUCGCUUUUCUCAAGUUGGUUAUUCUGAUAUUUCUGGUGCAUCUUGAAUAUGUAGAAGCAGCAAAACUUGUCUCAAGGAAUAAAGGCAUCAGCACAGGAAGAGGACAGAUGGUGCAUGUUCCUGAAACUGAACCACGGCUCCAUGUUCCCAAAGAAAGUGAAUCCCACAAGGUAGAUGUGGUUUUAAAUGAACUGGGGACACUGACAGUUGAGAAAAGAAGGAAUGCCUCAGGUGAGUGAUUGUCCUGUGGGGUGUCAGACCUGGCCAUCCUUGGUCAAGUUGGCCAUGGGAAAUCUCUCCCCAGGAGGGAUGAGUUGCAGUGGUAUGAAGAGGAGCUGGUGGAGGAGCUCUCUCAGGCUUCCCGCAUUUGCACAAACUGCUUCAUGGUUAUGUUAUGUGCUGAUGCUGUCUUUCUGUUCAUUUCGUUUAAAGGUAGCUUUUAAAAGAAGAGCCUGGAGCAGUUUUGUGCUCACAGGAUGCUCUCUGCUCCUUGCAAUCCUGAGGCCUCAAAACCCACUUCACUUGCCUGGGGGUGCUGAGAUGCUGUACGACUGGCUUUCCUGGGCUGCACUCCAGCUGCGCAGUGUCUUGUGUUAAACUAAUUUAUUCUCUCCAAAGAGAUUACUGGCAUUUAAAUGGUUAUUAAUUAAGGAGAAUUUGUGUUUUUCUCACCUGAUUUUUUUUACAUGCUUGGAAAUAGCAUUUAUUCACGCAAGUUUCUGCUGAAAAACGACUUAUUAAUUCACCUCAGCCUGUGGCCAGCAGUCUUUUGAAGCAAAAGUGCAAGGACUGGUGUAGGUAAGUUACAUGUGUUGCACAGGGAAGAUGUUUUCCUGGCUCACACUGGUAGAGGAUGAUAUUCUCUGAACUGUGAGAGUUCCUAAACCUUCCAGAAGACUUCUGCUUGAUUUUCAAGCUUUAUUAUGGUAAGUUGACAUAUUUUUUUAUUUGUUCCUAGAAGAAUUGGUCUUGGAGUGAGGAAAAAAAUACAGAUUAAAUGAGAGUUAGAAUCAUAAGUUUACCAGUUUGCUGGAAGUGUGCAUCUAUGUAUUUUUUUUCAAAUUUCUGCACUGCAAUAGAUUUUUUUUCUUAAUUCCAGAAUGUAUUUGGAGUGUUUCUUUAUCUCUGAUUCCUGUAGGCUGUCUGCAACUACUCUAGGCUGAGGAUGAGCUUGAAAAGAAUACAUAUAUGCUCCUGGAAUAUAAAUUAAUCCUUAACUUCUCCAAGUUAAAUUGGUGAUAAUAUUUUUUACCUUCUCAGAUACCAGUUAGUGUCACAAAUAAACCCUGAGUUGUUGUGAAGGAUCAUCUGAUUUCCUAGAUUAAUCCAAAAGAUAUGCUUUCAGAUCUUGAACCCUUCUCCUUAACCUCUGUUCCAAACAUAGUUUAUGCUGAGAUGAAGCAGAGACAAAUACACAAUAGAGCCUAAAUAUUGCUGCCUAAUAGGAACAACUGAGGGGUGUGUGCUAUAUCUUCUCAUAGCAACCAUAGGCCACAUUUCAGAUAUGGGGACUGAAUGGAUCCCAUGCAAUAGUUUCCAUGGUUGCACAGGGUUUGGUGUACCCAGUGACAUUAAUAUUCAUGUCCUUAAUAAAAUAACUUGUACAAAGACAAUUCUUCCCUGUUUAUUUCCUAUCUUAAACAAUUAUUCUGUAGAUGUUCAAAUGGAUUUAAGAUAUGAAAGUUACAUUAAAACGUACAAUUUUUUUUUUAGCAUGGACUGAGCCUUUCAUACUUAGGUUUACUGGAUGGUAGACUACCAUAGAAAUACUUCCUCCCAUAUGUACAAGGAAGCUGGACUCAAGUAUUGCUCACUUUGGAAAAAUGCCCCUGCAAGUUCCUGAAUUUCUUUGGCACGCAUAACAGAGUGGACAGAAGCAUCUCAAUCUUCACGUGUGGUGGUGUUGGGCCAGGUACAGCCUGCCUACAUGGAUCAUGUCUCCAGAGACACUGCUUACUGCUUUGGGUAAAGCAGUGGCAGUGGAGAAGAAGCAUUUACCUGAAUAUCUGCAAAAUGCAAGCAGAAGGAAAGCUGUGGUUCAAGGUGCUGAAGAAAUGCCAAAGGACAAGCUAAUGCUGCAUGUUGCUAGCCACCUGCUGCAGGAUACUUCACCCAUUUGGAGAACCGUGCAUAGAACACUACCACCUUCAGUCAGCAGGAUGUGUCUGAUACGAGAGCUGCUACCUGCCACCUGAUGUGUCUCACCCUGGGAGACAGGACGAUGAAGUAAUGGAGCCUGGCUGUCUGCAGCCAGGGCUGCUGUACUACAUCCAAAGCAAGCUUGAAGUCAGCAAGUGCUGCAUUAAUCUUUCUGGGAGUGUUUGUUUUGCUUGUUUUGUUAGGCUACAUUUCAAGCAACUGAUAAUGUGUUCGUGAGCAGUUCUCCUGUUGCAGCCCAUUUUUCAAAGGAAGUGUGAAGACCGAUGCUCCAAAGUAACAUUUCUACCCUGAAGUCAAAUCAUCUGCUUAGCAUCUUGCUCUGGAAGGACCCACAACUGCAGCUCUGGCACACAGAGAACAGGACGCCUAAAUGGGGAAUGCUGGUGCUCAUCCACUCCUGCUGCGUGAAUGAACACUGUGAGAAUUCCCUUGACACAGGAAAGUGUUGUGGUAUCAGACUCAACAUUAAUUGGUGUGGUAACAGGAGGGUUCCUCCAGGCUCAAGAAACAUUAUAAAACCCCCCUUCUCCAAAUCAGCUGCUAACAGUCAAUUUAAGAGAGCUUCACAUCUUGUAUUCUGCUGCAUACAUCUUUUUGAAGUGUAAUGCCAAUCCUGACCUCUGUGACACACCAUCUUACAGUUACAUAGUAGGACAGUCAUGUCCUAUCAUGUAAGACACCCUACAAGCUGCUGCAAAUGACAGUGGGGAGACUGUACAGCUCUUGGUGAUGCAAGGUCCUUGAUAUGGACUUAUCACACUGUGAGGUGUAUUGUGGCAGAUGGGGGUUAAACUGUUGGCAAUCCAGUGCCUACAAAAUCUAAGCAUGGUUUCUCUUGCAGGACUUAUCCUCCUAAUUUUCUUGAGAAAGGAUGGAGUCUUUUGUAUAUUACAUAGAAAGAAUAACAGAAGUUCUUUGGAAAAACAAAAUAUAUGCUCUGCGAUUUCUGAAGUGAGAGUACACAGAG